rnacentral:rRNA from 1 species
UACCUGGGCUAGAAUGCCUCUGACAACCUGAGAGAUCAGGCCUUCUGGGUAAAACCAGACAGAGUGCAAGGUGCUGCAUGGCUGUCGUCAGCUCGUGUCGUGAGAUGUUGGGUUAAGUCCCGCAACGAGCGCAACCCUUAUCAACUGUUGCCAGCGGGUAAUGCCGGGAACUCGGUUGAGACUGCCGUUGACAAAACGGAGGAAGGUGGGGAUGACGUCAAGUCCUCAUGGCCUUUAUGUCCAGGGCUACACACGUGCUACAAUGGCAGGUACAAACCGUCGCAAACCAGCAAUGGGGAGCCAAUCGGAAAAAGCCUGUCUCAGUUCGGAUUG